CCUGCAUGAAGCCGGAAUCGCUAGUAAUCGCGGAUCAGCAUGCCGCGGUGAAUACGUUCCCGGGCCUUGUACACACCGCCCGUCACACCACGAGAGCUUGCAACACCCGAAGUCGGUGAGGUAACCCGCAAGGGAGCCAGCCGCCGAAGGUGGGGCAAGUGAUUGGGGUGAAGUCGUAACAAGGUAGCCGUACCGGAAGGUGCGGCUGGAUCACCUCCUUUCUAAGG
rnacentral:rRNA from 1 species